rnacentral:rRNA from 1 species
UACGUAGGGUGCGAGCGUUGUCCGGAAUUAUUGGGCGUAAAGAGCGUGUAGGCGGUCCGGUAAGUCCGCUGUGAAAGUCGGGGGCUCAACCCUCGAAUGCCGGUGGAUACUGUCGGGCUUGAGUACGGAAGAGGCGAGUGGAAUUCCUGGUGUAGCGGUGAAAUGCGCAGAUAUCAGGAGGAACACCUAUUGCGAAGGCAGCUCGCUGGGACGUUACUGACGCUGAGACGCGAAAGCGUGGGGAGCAAACAGG